rnacentral:rRNA from 1 species
CCUACGGGUGACUGCAGUGAGGAAUAUUGGUCAAUGGACGGAAGUCUGAACCAGCCAUGCCGCGUGCAGGAAGACGGCUCUAUGAGUUGUAAACUGCUUUUGUACAAGGGUAAACCUGAAUACGUGUAUUCAGCUGAAAGUACUGUACGAAUAAGGAUCGGCUAACUCCGUGCCAGCCGCCGCGGUAAUACGGAGGAUCCAAGCGUUAUCCGGAUUUAUUGGGUUUAAAGGGUGCGUAGGCGGAUUGAUAAGUUAGAGGUGAAAUGUCCGAGCUUAACUCUGGAACUGCCUCUAAUACUGUUGAUCUAGAGAGUAGAUGCGGUAGGCGGAAUGUAUGGUGUAGCGGUUAAAUGCUUAGAGAUCAUACAGAACACCGAUUGCGAAGGCAGCUUACCAAUCUAUAUCUGACGUUGAGGCACGAAAGCGUGGGGAGCAAACAGGAUUAGAUACCCCUGCAGUC